ACCCGCACAAGCGGUGGAUGAUGUGGAUUAAUCGAUGCAACGCGAAAAACCUUACCUACCCUUGACAUGUCUGGAAUCUUGGUGAGAGCCGAGGGUGCCUUCGGGAGCCAGAACACAGGUGCUGCAUGGCUGUCGUCAGCUCGUGUCGUGAGAUGUUCGGUUAAGUCCGCUAACGAGCGCAACCCUCGCUGUGUGUUACAAGUGUCACACGGUACUGCCGGUCUUAAGCCGGAGGAAGGUGGGGAUGACGUCAAGUCAGCAUGGCCUUUAUGUCCUGGGCUACACACACGCUACAAUGGCCAACACAAUAGGUUGCUAAGCCGCGAGGUGGAGCCAAUCCUCAAAGUUGGUCUCAGUUCAGAUUGCAGGCUGCAACCCGCCUGCAUGAAGAUGGAGUUGCUAGUAACCGCAGGUCAGCUAUACUGCGGUGAAUACGUUCCCGGGGCUU
rnacentral:rRNA from 1 species